AGUGAACGCUGGCGGUAGGCCUAACACAUGCAAGUCGAACGGCAGCACAGUAAGAGCUUGCUCUUACGGGUGGCGAGUGGCGGACGGGUGAGGAAUACAUCGGAAUCUACUUUUUCGUGGGGGUUAACGUAGGGAAACUUACGCUAAUACCGCAUACGACCUACGGGUGAAAGCAGGGGAUCUUCGGACCUUGCGCGAUUGAAUGAGCCGAUGUCGGAUUAGCUAGUUGGCGGGGUAAAGGCCCACCAAGGCGACGAUCCGUAGCUGGUCUGAGAGGAUGAUCAGCCACACUGGAACUGAGACACGGUCCGGACUCCUACGGGAGGCAGCAGUGGGGAAUAUUGGACAAUGGGCGCAAGCCUGAUCCAGCCAUACCGCGUGGGUGAAGAAGGCCUUCGGGUUGUAAAGCCCUUUUGUUGGGAAAGAAAAGCAGCAGGUUAAUACCCCGCUGUUCUGACGGUACCCAAAGAAUAAGCACCGGCUAACUUCGUG
rnacentral:rRNA from 1 species